GACAAGAAAUAAGUUAAGUUAUAAAACUGGAAUGAUAUAGAAAAGAUUAGCAUAGACCCUGCACAAGGAUGACAUGAAAAUUUUUGAAAUGUUCUAUAUAUUC
rfam:Myotis brandtii contig179137, whole genome shotgun sequence.